AAUGGUCAAGUCUACAAAGUUGCUGUGUGUCUGAGUGCCAUCUGCUGCCAUCACCACUUCCUCUGGAAAUCCUGGCUCUUUCGUGCUGCAUGCUAUCCCAGAACAGCUUCCUUGAAGCCCAGGCCAACACACAAAGUCUUUGCACGGUCAACAUC